GGUGGGGUAAGCUGGAGCUGCACGCGCGCCUUUCUGCAAGAGGAGGGACGAACAGGAAAUGGUCGUGGGUGCACGUGCAGAGAGCUUGCUUUUAAUGGAAUCAUCCCUACCUACCCAAAAUGUCGGAAGUAAUGGUGUGUGCUGUGGACAUCUGUGAGCAACAUAUGAGCAACCAUGCACUAAAAGAACAGGCCAUGAACCUUCUUAUUACUGAGAACGACAGAUCUUUGAGCUUGGGACAAAAGGGAAAAGUAACUCUUGACACUGGAUAUAUUAUUCAUGGUACCGGCACAUCUUUGGACUCCACCAAUGCAAAGGACUUUAGUAGUGAUGCUAUCUUAAUCCAGAAGUCAUAAUCUCUGCCAAGAAGAA